CCUACGGGUGGCAGCAGUGGGGAAUAUUGCACAAUGGGGGAAACCCUGAUGCAGCGACGCCGCGUGAGUGAAGAAGUAUUUCGGUAUGUAAAGCUCUAUCAGCAGGGAAGAAAAUGACGGUACCUGAGUAAGAAGCCCCGGCUAACUACGUGCCAGCAGCCGCGGUAAUACGUAGGGGGCAAGCGUUAUCCGGAUUUACUGGGUGUAAAGGGAGCGUAGACGGCAGGACAAGUCUGGAGUGAAAGGCGGGGGCUCAACCCCGGGACUGCUUUGGAAACUGUACGGCUGGAGUGCAGGAGAGGUAAGUGGAAUUCCUAGUGUAGCGGUGAAAUGCGUAGAUAUUAGGAGGAACACCAGUGGCGAAGGCGGCUUACUGGACUGUAACUGACGUUGAGGCUCGAAAGCGUGGGGAGCAAACAGGAUUAGAUACCCGAGUAGUC
rnacentral:rRNA from 1 species